CAAACCAUACACCGAAGCUACGGGUAUCAUCUUAGGAUGAUGCGGUAGAGGAGCGUUCUGUAAGCCUGUGAAGGUGAGUUGAGAAGCUUGCUGGAGGUAUCAGAAGUGCGAAUGCUGACAUGAGUAACGAUAAUGGGUGUGAAAAACACCCACGCCGAAAGACCAAGGUUUCCUGCGCAACGUUAAUCGACGCAGGGUUAGUCGGUCCCUAAGGCGAGGCUGAAAAGCGUAGUCGAUGGAAAACAGGUUAAUAUUCCUGUACUUCUGGUUAUUGCGAUGGAGGGACGGAGAAGGCUAGGCCAGCUUGGCGUUGGUUGUCCAAGUUUAAGGUGGUAGGCUGGAAUCUUAGGUAAAUCCGGGAUUCUAAGGCCGAGAGCUGAUGACGAGUGUUCUUUUAGAACACGAAGUGGUUGAUGCCAUGCUUCCAAGAAAAGCUUCUAAGCUUCAGGUAACCAGGAACCGUACCCCAAACCGACACAGGUGGUUGGGUAGAGAAUACCAAGGCGCUUGAGAGAACUCGGGUGA
rnacentral:rRNA from 1 species